AGAGUUUGAUCCUGGCUCAGGACGAACGUUGGCGGCGUGCUUAACACAUGCAAGUCGAACGGUUCUCAAGGUUUGGGGUUAGGUGCUCUGAGUUUGAUAAUANNNNNNNNNNUGGGAGAAAGUUCUCACAUCCAACAUCUCACAUCUCACUUCUCAAUAGCGGCGGACGGGUGAGUAACGCGUGGAUAAUCUGCCUGUAAGACAGGGAUAACGCCGGGAAACCGGUGCUAAUACCCGAUAACCUCUUUGGAUCGCAUGGUUUAAAGAGAAAAGGUGGCCUCUUUACAAUGCUACCACUUACAGAUGAAUCCGCGUCCCAUUAGCCAGUUGGUGGGGUAAAGGCCUACCAAAGCGACGAUGGGUAGCCGGCCUGAGAGGGUGACCGGCCACACUGGAACUGAGAUACGGUCCAGACUCCUACGGGAGGCAGCAGUGGGGAAUCUUGCGCAAUGGGCGCAAGCCUGACCCAGCAACGCCGCGUGAGGGAAGAAGGCUUUCGGGUUGUAAACCUCUGUCCUUGGUGACGAAACAAAUGACGGUAGCCAAGGAGGAAGCCCCGGCUAACUACGUGCCAGCAGCCGCGGUAAUACGUAGGUGGCAAACGUUGUCCGGAAUUACUGGGCGUAAAGGGCGCGUAGGCGGAUAAUUAAGUCCGGUGUGAAAACUCCGGGCUCAACUCGGAGACUGCUCCUGAAACUGGUAGACUUGAGUGCAAGAGAGGGAAGUGGAAUUCCUAGUGUAGCGGUGAAAUGCGUAGAUAUUAGGAGGAACACCAGUGGCGAAGGCGACUUCCUGGCUUGUAACUGACACUGAGGCGCGAAAGCGUGGGGAUCAAACAGGAUUAGAUACCCUGGUAGUCCACGCCGUAAACGAUGAGUGCUAGGUGUCGGGGGUAUCGACCCCCUCGGUGCCACAGCUAACGCAAUAAGCACUCCGCCUGGGGAGUACGGUCGCAAGACUGAAACUCAAAGGAAUUGACGGGGGCCCGCACAAGCGGUGGAGUAUGUGGUUUAAUUCGACGCAACGCGAAGAACCUUACCAAGGCUUGACAUCCUGUGACAGCUAUGGAAACAUGGUUUUGCAAGUUUGUUAUCCGGGAUACAGGUGGUGCAUGGUUGUCGUCAGCUCGUGUCGUGAGAUGUUGGGUUAAGUCCCGCAACGAGCGCAACCCUUGUCUUUAGUUACCAUCAUUCAGUUGGGGACUCUAGCGAGACAGGUGUUUACUCUUCUCAAUAGCGGCGGACGGGUGAGUAACGCGUGGAUAAUCUGCCUGUAAGACUACACACGUACUACAAUGGCCUGAACAGAGGGAAGCAAAACUGCGAAGUUAAGCCAACCCCUUAAAACAGGUCCCAGUUCGGAUUGUAGGCUGCAACUCGCCUACAUGAAGUCGGAAUCGCUAGUAAUCGCAGGUCAGCAUACUGCGGUGAAUACGUUCCCGGGCCUUGUACACACCGCCCGUCACACCACGAAAGUCGGCAACACCCGAAGCCGGUGACUCAACCCGUAAGGGAGAGAGCCGUCGAAGGUGGGGUUGGUAAUUGGGGUGAAGUCGUAACAAGGUAACCA
rnacentral:rRNA from 1 species